rnacentral:rRNA from 1 species
GGGCCCGCACAAGCGGUGGAGUAUGUGGUUUAAUUCGAUGCAACGCGAAGAACCUUACCAGGGUUUGACAUCCUGCGAAUCUCUUGGAAACAGGAGAGUGCCUUCGGGAACGCAGUGACAGGUGGUGCAUGGCUGUCGUCAGCUCGUGUCGUGAGAUGUUGGGUUAAGUCCCGCAACGAGCGCAACCCACGUCUUUAGUUGCCAGCAUUUAGUUGGGCACUCUAGAGAGACUGCCGGUGAUAAACCGGAGGAAGGUGUGGAUGACGUCAAGUCAUCAUGCCCCUUACAUCCUGGGCUACACACGUACUACAAUGCUACGGACAAAGGGCAGCAAACUCGCGAGAGCUAGCA